rnacentral:rRNA from 1 species
AGUCGAGGGGCAGCACGAAUAGCAAUAUUUGGUGGCGACCGGCGGACGGGUGAGUAACGCGUAUGCAACCUACCUUUUACUGGAGGAUAGCCCGAAGAAAUUCGGAUUAAUACUCCAUAGUUUUAUGAUAUCGCAUGAUAUUAUAAAUAAAGUUUUAACGGUAAAAGAUGGGCAUGCGUGCCAUUAGUUUGUUGGUGAGGUAACGGCUCACCAAGACUACGAUGGUUAUGGGGUCUAAAAGGAUGGUCCCACACACUGGUACUGAGACACGGACCAGACUCCUACGGGAGGCAGCAGUGAGGAAUAUUGGUCAAUGGGCGCAAGCCUGAACCAGCCAUCCCGCGUGCAGGAUGACAGCCCUAGAGGUUGUAAACUGCUUUUGUAUAGGACGAAUAAGAACUACGUGUAGUUUGAUGACAGUACUGUACGAAUAAGCACCGGCUAACUCCGUGCCAGCAGCCGCGGUAAUACGGAGGGUGCAAGCGUUAUCCGGAUUUAUUAGGUUUAAAGGGUGCGUAGGCGGAAUUUUAAGUCAGUGGUAAAAGACAUUAGCUUAACUAAUGUAAGCCGUUGAAACUGGGAUUCUUGAGUUCGGUUGAGGUAGGCGGAAUGUGUUGUGUAGCGGUGAAAUGCAUAGAUAUAACACAGAACACCGAUUGCGAAGGCAGCUUACUAAGCCGUUACUGACGCUGAUGCACGAAAGCGUGGGGAUCAAACAGGAUUAGAUACCCUGGUAGUCCACGCCGUAAACGAUGAUCACUCGUUGUUGGCAAUACACCGUCAGCGACUGAGCGAAAGCAUUAAGUGAUCCACCUGGGGAGUACGUUCGCAAGAAUGAAACUCAAAGGAAUUGACGGGGGCCCGCACAAGCGGAGGAACAUGUGGUUUAAUUCGAUGAUACGCGAGGAACCUUACCUGGGCUUAAAUGUAGAGUGCAUUAUUUGGAAACAGAUAUUCCCUUCGGGGCUCUUUACAAGGUGCUGCAUGGUUGUCGUCAGCUCGUGCCGUGAGGUGUCGGGUUAAGUCCCAUAACGAGCGCAACCCCUAUCGCCAGUUGCCAGCAAGUAAUGUUGGGGACUCUGGUGAGACUGCCGGUGUAAACCGCGAGGAAGGUGGGGAUGACGUCAAAUCAGCACGGCCCUUAUGUCCAGGGCUACACACGUGUUACAAUGGUCAAUACAAUGGGCAGCCACUCGGCGACGAGGAGCUAAUCCACAAAAUUGGUCUUAGUUCGGAUCGGAGUCUGCAACUCGACUCCGUGAAGCUGGAUUCGCUAGUAAUCGUAUAUCAGCAAUGAUACGGUGAAUACGUUCCCGGGCCUUGUACACACCGCCCGUCAAGCCAUGGAAGUUGGGGGUGCCUGAAGUCCGUAACCGCAAGGA